CCUACGGGUGGCAGCAGUGAGGAAUAUUGGUCAAUGGGCGCGAGCCUGAACCAGCCAAGCAGCGUGAAGGAUGACUGUCCUACGGGUUGUAAACUUCUUUUAUAAAGGAAUAAAGUGAGGCACGUGUCCCUUUUUGUAUGUACUUUAUGAAUAAGGAUCGGCUAACUCCGUGCCAGCAGCCGCGGUAAUACGGAGGAUCCGAGCGUUAUCCGGAUUUAUUGGGUUUAAAGGGAGCGUAGGUGGGUUGUUAAGUCAGUUGUGAAAGUUUGCGGCUCAACCGUGGCAGUGAGGUUGAUACUGGCAGCCUUGAGUGCGGGAGAGGUAGGCGGAAUUCGUGGUGUAGCGGUGAAAUGCUUAGAUAUCGCGAAGAACUCCGAUUGCGAAGGCAGCAUACUGAACUGCCACUGACGCUGAUGCUCGAAAGUGUGGGUAUCAAACAGGAUUAGAUACCCUAGUAGUC
rnacentral:rRNA from 1 species